AUGUGAAUUCAGCAGGGUAGCUGGUGACAUCUUAGAGUGGGGAGGCAAAAUCAGCACCAAGAGGUAUUCACAGCCAGCAAUGAGCAGCAGGCACUGGGCUAGUUGCAGCAGAGACAAUGGAGAAUAAGACAAACAUGGUAGUUAUUCACCCAGAGGUCAGAGUUCUCUGAACAUCACAGAUGUCCCAGCAUGCCCCAGAUAGAGCUGCUGCUUCAUCCUGGAUUCCAGAAUGAAGGAGACACAUGGACAGGAGCCAAACUGAUCCACAGCCAGUGGAAACUGUGAGCAAGAAAUCAGCCUUGGUUGUUGAACCCACUGAAAUCUGAAAUGUAGAUGUUGUUUUUACUGCAGCAUAACCGAGCGAAAAAUGUAGAUGUUGUUUUUACUGCAGCAUAACCGAGCGAAAGCUAAUAAAUAUAGUAGGAAUAUAAACAGCACAUUUAUUAAAAAAACAUUUUAGCAAUAUAUAUCAAGAGCUUUAAAAUUAGCUGAUACUAUUGACUUAAAAAUUCCCUUCAAUGAUUCUAUGUGCCAAGAGGUUCAUUACAAU